rnacentral:rRNA from 1 species
ACGGAGGGUGCGAGCGUUAAUCGGAAUUACUGGGCGUAAAGGGUACGUAGGCGGCUUGAUAAGUCAGAUGUGAAAUCCCCGGGCUUAACCUGGGAACUGCAUUUGAAACUGUCUGGCUAGAGUGAGUGAGAGGUUAGUGGAAUUCAAGGCGUAGCGGUGAAAUGCGUAGAGGUCUUGAGGAACAUCAGUGGCGAAGGCGACUAACUGGCACUACACUGACGCUGAGGUACGAAAGCGUGGGGAGCGAACAGG